CCCUUAGAUGUUCUGGGCCGCACGCGCGCUACACUGAUGCAUUCAACGAGUUUCUUCCUGGUCCGAGAGGAGUGGGUAACCUUUUGAAAGUGCAUCGUGAUAGGGAUAGACUAUUGCAAUUAUUGGUCUUCAACGAGGAAUUCCUAGUAGACGUAGUUCAUCAGACUGCAUCGAUUACGUCCCUGCCCUUUGUACACACCGCCCGUCGCUUCUACCGAUUGAAUGCUCAGGUGAGCCAUUCGGACUUUCAUCAUGCUGGUUUCCAGUUUUGAUGAAGGAAAGUCUUGCGAACCUUAUCAUUUAGAGGAAGGAGAAGUCGUAACA
rnacentral:rRNA from 1 species